rnacentral:rRNA from 1 species
UCCUGACUGACCGAUAGUGAACCAGUACCGUGAGGGAAAGGCGAAAAGAACCCCGGCGAGGGGAGUGAAAAAGAACCUGAAACCGUGUACGUACAAGCAGUGGGAGCACGCUUAGGCGUGUGACUGCGUACCUUUUGUAUAAUGGGUCAGCGACUUAUAUUCUGUAGCAAGGUUAACCGAAUAGGGGAGCCGAAGGGAAACCGAGUCUUAACUGGGCGUUAAGUUGCAGGGUAUAGACCCGAAACCCGGUGAUCUAGCCAUGGGCAGGUUGAAGGUUGGGUAACACUAACUGGAGGACCGAACCGACUAAUGUUGAAAAAUUAGCGGAUGACUUGUGGCUGGGGGUGAAAGGCCAAUCAAACCGGGAGAUAGCUGGUUCUCCCCGAAAGCUAUUUAGGUAGCGCCUCGUGAAUUCAUCUCCGGGGGUAGAGCACUGUUUCGGCAAGGGGGUCAUCCCGACUUACCAACCCGAUGCAAACUGCGAAUACCGGAGAAUGUUAUCACGGGAGACACACGGCGGGUGCUAACGUCCGUCGUGAAGAGGGAAACAACCCAGACCGCCAGCUAAGGUCCCAAAGUCAUGGUUAAGUGGGAAACGAUGUGGGAAGGCCCAGACAGCCAGGAUGUUGGCUUAGAAGCAGCCAUCAUUUAAAGAAAGCGUAAUAGCUCACUGGUCGAGUCGGCCUGCGCGGAAGAUGUAACGGGGCUAAACCAUGCACCGAAGCUGCGGCAGCGAUGCUUAUGCGUUGUUGGGUAGGGGAGCGUUCUGUAAGCCUGCGAAGGUGUGCUGUGAGGCAUGCUGGAGGUAUCA